GCCGUUAUAGCUCAGGUGGUAGAGCGCGUCAUUGGUAAUGACGAGGUCCUAAGUUCGAGUCUUGGUAGCGGCA
rnacentral:tRNA from 1 species